CCUACGGUAGGCAGCAGUGGGGAAUAUUGCGCAAUGGGCGAAAGCCUGACGCAGCGACGCCGCGUGAGGGAUGAAGGUCUUCGGAUCGUAAACCUCUGUCAGCCGGGAAGAACGGUCCCUGUGCUAAUCAGCCGUGAAUUGACGGUACCUGCAAAGGCAGCACCGGCUAACUCCGUGCCAGCAGCCGCGGUAAUACGGAGGGUGCGAGCGUUAAUCGGAAUUACUGGGCGUACAGCGCACGUAGGCGGUAUGUCAAGUCAAGGGUGAAAUCCCCGCGCUCAACGUGGGAACUGCCUUUGAAAAUGGCAAACUGGAGUGUGUGAGAGGAUAGUGGAAUUCCAGGUGUAGGAGUGAAAUGCGUAGAUAUCAGGAGGAACACCGGUGGCGAAGGCGGCCUGCUGGACUGCAACUGACGUUGAGGCCCGAAAGCGUGGGGAGCAAACAGGAUUAGAUACCCUAGUAGUC
rnacentral:rRNA from 1 species